UACGUAGGGUGCAAGCGUUAAUCGGAAUUACUGGGCGUAAAGCGUGCGCAGGCGGUUAUGUAAGACAGUUGUGAAAUCCCCGGGCUCAACCUGGGAACUGCAUCUGUGACUGCAUAGCUAGAGUACGGUAGAGGGGGAUGGAAUUCCGCGUGUAGCAGUGAAAUGCGUAGAUAUGCGGAGGAACACCGAUGGCGAAGGCAAUCCCCUGGACCUGUACUGACGCUCAUGCACGAAAGCGUGGGGAACAAACAGG
rnacentral:rRNA from 1 species